rnacentral:rRNA from 1 species
GAUGAACGCUGGCGGCGUGCCUAACACAUGCAAGUCGAGCGAUUCUCUUCGGAGAAGAGCGGCGGAUGGGUGAGUAACGCGUGGGUAACCUGCCCUGUACACACGGAUAACAUACCGCAAGGUAUGCUAAUACGAGAUAAUAUACCUUUAUCGCAUGGUAGAAGUAUCAAAGCUUUUGCGGUACAGGAGGGACCCGGAGCUGAUUAGCUAGUUGGUAAGGUAACGGCUUAACAAGGCGACGAUCAGUAGCCGACCUGAGAGGGUGAUCGGCCACAUUGGAACUGAGACACGGUCCAAACUCCUACGGGAGGCAGCAGUGGGGAAUAUUGCACAAUGGGCGAAAGCCUGAUGCAGCAACGCCGCGUGAGCGAUGAAGGCCUUCGGGUCGUAAAGCUCUGUCCUCAAGGAAGAUAAUGACGGUACUUGAGGAGGAAGCCCCGGCUAACUACGUGCCAGCCGCCGCCGUAAGAC